UACGUAGGGUCCGAGCGUUGUCCGGAAUUACUGGGCGUAAAGAGCUCGUAGGUGGUUUGUCGCGUUGUUCGUGAAAACUCACAGCUCAACUGUGGGCGUGCGGGCGUAUACGGGCAGACUAGAGUACUGCAGGGGAGACUGGAAUUCCUGGUGUAGCGGUGGAAUGCGCAGAUAUCAGGAGGAACACCGGUGGCGAAGGCGGGUCUCUGGUCGACAUCUGACGCUGAGACGCGAAAGCGUGGGGAGCAAACGGG
rnacentral:rRNA from 1 species